rnacentral:antisense_RNA from 1 species
CUCUAUGGCAGAUCGCGUGGGGAGGCCCCCGGGUCUGCCGGUUCCAGUAUGCCGGUUCGUCAACCCUGCGCGAUCUGCCACCCCA